CAGAGGGGGCUUAGUGGUGGGGUGACUGCGUACCUUUUGUAUAAUGGGUCAGCGACUUAUAUUCUGUAGCAAGGUUAACCGAAUAGGGGAGCCGGAGGGAAACCGAGUCUUAAUUGGGCGUUAAGUUGCAGGGUAUAGACCCGAAACCCGGUGAUCUAGCCAUGGGCAGGUUGAAGGUUGGGUAACACUAACUGGAGGACCGAACCGACUAAUGUUGAAAAAUUAGCGGAUGACCUGUGGCUGGGGGUGAAAGGCCAAUCAAACCGGGAGAUAGCUGGUUCUCCCCGAAAGCUAUUUAGGUAGCGCCUCGUGAAUUCAUCUCCGGGGGUAGAGCACUGUUUCGGCUAGGGGGCCAUCCCGGCUUACCAACCCGAUGCAAACUGCGAAUACCGGAGAAUGUUAUCACGGGAGACACACGGCGGGUGCUAACGUCCGUCGUGAAGAGGGAAACAACCCAGACCGCCAGCUAAGGUCCCAAAGUCAUGGUUAAGUGGGAAACGAUGUGGGAAGGCCCAGACAGCCAGGAUGUUGGCUUAGAAGCAGCCAUCAUUUAAAGAAAGCGUAAUAGCUCACUGGUCGAGUCGGCCUGCGCGGAAGAUGUAACGGGGCUAAACCAUGCACCGAAGCUGCGGCAGCGACGCUGAUGCGUUGUUGGGUAGGGGAGCGUUCUGUAAGCCUGUGAAGGUGGCCUGUGAGGGUUGCUGGAGGUAUCAGAAGUGCGAAUGCUGACAUAAGUAACGAUAAAGCGGGUGAAAAGCCCGCUCGCCGGAAGACCAAGGGUUCCUGUCCAACGUUAAUCGGGGCAGGGUGAGUCGACCCCUAAGGCGAGGCCGAAAGGCGUAGUCGAUGGGAAACGGGUUAAUAUUCCCGUACUUGGUGUUACUGCGAAGGGGGGACGGAGAAGGCUAUGUUGGCCGGGCGACGGUUGUCCCGGUUUAAGCGUGUAGGUGUGUGUUCCAGGUAAAUCCGGUUCACUUUAACACUGAGGCGUGACGACGAGGCACUACGGUGCUGAAGCAACAAAUGCCCUGCUUCCAGGAAAAGCCUCUAAGCAUCAGGUAACAUCAAAUCGUACCCCAAACCGACACAGGUGGUCAGGUAGAGAAUACCAAGGCGCUUGAGAGAACUCGGGUGAAGGAACUAGGCAAAAUGGUGCCGUAACUUCGGGAGAAGGCACGCUGACA
rnacentral:rRNA from 1 species